rnacentral:rRNA from 1 species
AGCAGCCGCGGUAAUUCCAGCUCCAAUAGCGUAUAUUAAAGUUGUCGCAGUUAAAAAGCUCGUAGUUGAACUUCGGGGUCUACCCAUUGGUCAGGCUUAAUUGUCUGUACUGGUGAGAUGGAUCUCUACCUUCUGAGGAACUUUCAUGCCAUUUAUUUGGUGUGAUUGGAAAUCAGGACUGUUACUUUGAAAAAUUAGAGUGUUUAAAGCAGACUAUCGUCUGAAUACAUUAGCAUGGAAUAAUGAAAUAGGACGGACUGAUUCUAUUUCGUUGGUCUCUAGGAUCACCGUAAUGAUUAAUAGGGAUAGUUGGGGGCAUUAGUAUUCAAUUGUCAGAGGUGAAAUUCUUGGAUUUAUUGAAGACUAACUACUGCGAAAGCAUUUGCCAAGGAUGUUUUCAUUAAUCAAGAACGAAAGUUAGGGGAUCGAAGACGAUCAGAUACCGUCGUAGUCUUAACCAUAG